GAUCUCGGCCAGCUUUUGUGGUGGGAUCGACCUUUUCCAGCCUUCCGGGUGAGAUCUUCCUUCUCCUCUGGCUCUCCAGGUGGGAUUUGGCUUCUUCAGCUCUCCUGGUGGGAUUCACACCUGUUCUUCCAGUUCUCCAGGUGGGAUUCCUCUCCAAUUCUCCUGGUGGGAUUCAUACUUGAUUUUUUAGGUGAUGUUUAUCUUCUUCAACUCUUCAGGUAGGAUUUACCCUCUCCAAGUUUCUGGGUAGGUUGUAUCUCCUCCAGCUUCCCAGGGGAGAUUCAGCUCCUCCAGCGCUCGUGGUGGGAUUUGGCCCCUCCAACCCUUGCGGUGGGAUUCAGCCCCAGCUUUAGACACCAAAACUCCUUCCAGCUCCCAGUACUGCCUCGUCCUUCCAGUCAGUCAUCUCUGUCGGGACUUGGUGGGCUCCUCCAUUUCCGAAGUACGUGUGGUCCCUCGGACACGUGGUCCCUUGGACACAUGAAGCCUCCAACACGUUGUCACUUCAAUGCAUCUCUAUGGACUCUCAGCCAACAAGGAUGCGAUCUACCAGCUGAGUUGCUCCCAGAUCAUGUUUUUACUUCUUCUGGUGCUCAGUCUGGCCCCGUUUUUGGUUCUUUUUGACUCCUGAGGGUGCAGAAGAGCUGCUUGGACCCUCCUAGUUGGAGCAGCUACCUUUCUCCUCCUGGCUUUGUCCCAACAAGUGACGUCCACCUCCUUGCACGUGCGUUUUCUGAGGAACGAAACGCCCUGGAGCCAUGGCUCGGUUUGACCUAGGUCACUUGGAGAAGGAGCCGGGACUUCCCAAGCCAAAAGCGGGGCAGAAAUAAUGGGUGUGAAACCUAGUCCUCUUUCCUUGCACCCCCUCCCUGGGACGGAGGUUGGAGGGGGGUUAAGGGUGUCCUCUUGGGUUGGGGUCCUCGUCCCACGUCGCGCCGCUGUAACGGGUUUCCCACCGGUUUCCUCUCUGCGUCUCCUUCCAGAAAUGAGCAGAAGCAACAAUCGUGGCUUUUCUCUGGUGGCAGCAAGAG